UACGUAGGGAGCAAGCGUUGUCCGGAAUCAUUGGGCGUAAAGCGCGCGUAGGUGGCUUCGUAAGUCCGUUGUGAAAGUCAAAGGCUCAACCUUUGAAAGCCGAUGGAUACUGUGAAGCUAGAGUACGGAAGAGGCGAGUGGAAUUCCUGGUGUAGCGGUGGAAUGCGCAGAUAUCAGGAGGAACACCGAUGGCGAAGGCAGCUCGCUGGGACGGUACUGACGCUGAGGCGCGAAAGCGUGGGGAGCGAACAGG
rnacentral:rRNA from 1 species